CACAAAACAACUUUGGUGGAGCGAGUUCAAAGGUUGGUGAGGCGAACUAAAGGUCGGAGAAAAAAGCAAAGGAGAUUUGAGGGGGAGCAAAGCUUUUGUGGCAGACGAAGAUGACUUGAUGUAUUCUUAGUUUAUUUACCUUCUUGGAUGGAUGA